UACAGAGGGUGCAAGCGUUAAUCGGAAUUACUGGGCGUAAAGCGUGCGUAGGUGGUUUGUUAAGUCUGAUGUGAAAGCCCUGGGCUCAACCUGGGAAUUGCAUUGGAUACUGGCAAGCUAGAGUGCGGUAGAGGAUGGCGGAAUUCCCGGUGUAGCAGUGAAAUGCGUAGAGAUCGGGAGGAACAUCUGUGGCGAAGGCGGCCAUCUGGACCAGCACUGACACUGAGGCACGAAAGCGUGGGGAGCAAACAGG
rnacentral:rRNA from 1 species